rnacentral:rRNA from 1 species
UAUAGAGGUGGCAAGCGUUGUUCGGAAUUACUGGGCGUAAAGGGCGCGUAGGCGGCUUGGUCAGUCCCGUGUGAAAUCCCUCGGCUCAACUGAGGAACUGCACGGGAAACUGCCUGGCUUGAGUUCGGGAGAGGGAAGCGGAAUUCCGGGUGUAGCGGUGAAAUGCGUAGAUAUCCGGAGGAACACCGGUGGCGAAGGCG